rnacentral:rRNA from 1 species
AUUGUAGGCUGCAACUCGCCUACAUGAAGCCGGAAUCGCUAGUAAUCGUGGAUCAGCAUGCCACGGUGAAUACGUUCCCGGGCCUUGUACACACCGCCCGUCACACCACGAGAGUUUGUAACACCCGAAGUCGGUAGGGUAACCUUUAUGGAGCCAGCCGCCGAAGGUGGGACAGAUAAUUGGGGUGAAGUCGUAACAAGGUAGCCGUAUCGGAAGGUGCGGCUGGAUCACCUCCUUUCUAAGGAA